UCACCAUCUUCUUCAUUUCUUCAUCUUCCUCUUCAAGAACAACUCAAGUCUUGUCAAGGUUAAUUCUCCAUUGACACAUCAGCAUACCGAUACAGUAGGAUAACGCCUAAUCACAAAUGAUUAUACGUUGAAAAUAGGAUGUGGCGGUGGCAAAGGUGGCGAUGGUAGAGGUGACAAUGGUAGUAUUAGUGGGGUCGAUUGUUGGCAGAAGUGGUGGUGAUGGUAGUGACGGUUGUGGUGGCGAGGGAAAAGGAACGCGUGGUGUGGCAUAAUUAUUCAUGAUUAUUACUAUUCCGUUGUAUUGGUACGCUGUAACGCUGAAACCGAAAAUAAAAAAUAUGUGACUGAUGUUGAAUUUUAAAAUCUAUAUUUUUUCGGAAUC